rnacentral:rRNA from 1 species
AUUGAACGCUGGCGGCAGGCCUAACACAUGCAAGUCGAACGAGUGGCGGACGGGUGAGUAAUGUCUGGGAAACUGCCUGAUGGCGGGGGAUAACUACUGGAAACGGUAGCUAAUACCGCAUACCAUCAGAUGGGCCCAAAUGGGAUUAGCUGUUUGGUGGGGUAACGGCUCACCAAGGAGACGAUACCGAGCUGGUCUGAGGGGAGGACCACCCACACUGUAACUGAGACGCGGUCCAGACUCCUACGAGAGGCACCAGUGGAGAAUAUUGCACAAUGGGCGCAAGCCUUAUGCAGCCAUGCCGCGUGUAUGAAGAAGGCCUUCGGGUUGUAAAGUACUUUCAGCGGGGAUGCGUUACCCGCAGAAGAAGCACCGGCUAACUCCGUGCCAGCAGCCGCGGUAAUAC